UGGGUGACCUGCCCUCAGCUCUGGGAUAAGCCCGAGAAAUUGGGUCUAAUACCGGAUAUGACCUUUCCUCGCAUGGGGUUUGGUGUAAAGAAUUUCGGCUGAGGAUGGGCCCGCGGCCUAUCAUGCUUGAUGGUGAGGUAACGGCCCACCAUGGCGACGACGGGUAGCCGGCCUGAGAGGGCGACCGGCCACACUGGGACUGAGACACGGCCCAGACUCCUACGGGGG
rnacentral:rRNA from 1 species